rnacentral:misc_RNA from 1 species
UGGGAGGCUCCGGCGAGGGAGG